rnacentral:rRNA from 1 species
UACGUAGGCAGCAAGCGUUGUUCGGAGUUACUGGGCGUAAAGAGUGUGUAGGCGGUUUUCUAAGUUUGGUGUGAAAUCUCCCGGCUUAACUGGGAGGGUGCGCCGAAGACUGGAAGGCUUGAGUAUGGGAGAGGAAAGCGGAAUUCCUGGUGUAGCGGUGAAAUGCGUAGAUAUCAGGAGGAACACCUGUGGUGUAGACGGCUUUCUG